rnacentral:tRNA from 1 species
GGGCGCGUGGCCCAAUGGAUAAGGCGUCGGUCUUCGGAACCGAAGAUUGUAGGUUCGAGUCCUACCGUGCUCA